rnacentral:rRNA from 1 species
AUUGAACGCUGGCGGCAUGCUUUACACAUGCAAGUCGAACGGCAGCACGGACUUCGGUCUGGUGGCGAGUGGCGAACGGGUGAGUAAUACAUCGGAACGUGCCCAGUUGUGGGGGAUAACUACUCGAAAGAGUAGCUAAUACCGCAUGAGAACUGAGGUUGAAGGCAGGGGAUCGUAAGACCUUGCGCAACUGGAGCGGCCGAUGGCAGAUUAGGUAGUUGGUGGGAUAAAAGCUUACCAAGCCGACGAUCUGUAGCUGGUCUGAGAGGACGACCAGCCACACUGGGACUGAGACACGGCCCAGACUCCUACGGGAGGCAGCAGUGGGGAAUUUUGGACAAUGGGCGAAAGCCUGACCCAGCAAUGCCGCGUGCAGGAUGAAGGCCUUCGGGUUGUAAACUGCUUUUGUACGGAACGAAAAGCUUCGGGCUAAUACCCUGGAGUCAUGACGGUACCGUAAGAAUAAGCACCGGCUAACUACGUGCCAGCCGCCGCGGUAAGAC